rnacentral:rRNA from 1 species
ACGGGAGGCAGCAGUGGGGAAUAUUGCACAAUGGGCGAAAGCCUGAUGCAGCGACGCCGCGUGAGUGAAGAAGUAUUUCGGUAUGUAAAGCUCUAUCAGCAGGAAAGAAAAUGACGGUACCUGACUAAGAAGCCCCGGCUAACCACGUGCCAGCAGCCGCGGUAAUACGUAGGGGGCAAGCGUUAUCCGGAUUUACUGGGUGUAAAGGGAGCGUAGACGGUUUUGCAAGUCUGAAGUGAAAUGCCGGGGCUCAACCCCGGAACUGCUUUGGAAACUGUAGGACUAGAGUGCAGGAGAGGUAAGUGGAAUUCCUAGUGUAGCGGUGAAAUGCGUAGAUAUUAGGAGGAACACCAGUGGCGAAGGCGAUCUACUGGACGAUAACUGACGCUGAGGCGCGAAAGCGUGGGGAGCAAACAGGAUUAGAUACCCUGGUA